rnacentral:tRNA from 1 species
GCGAGAGUGGCGGAACUGGCAGACGCGCUGGACUUAGGAUCCAGUGGGUGAACGCCCUUGGGGGUUCAACUCCCCCCUCUCGCACCA